GCCAGUACAACCACUCUGGAAAUCAGUCUGGCAUUUCCUCAGAAAAUUGGACAUAGUACUACUAUCUGAGGACUCAACUAUACCACUUCUGGGCAUACACCCAAAAGAUGCUCCAACAUAUAACAAGGAUACAUGUUUUACUAUGUUCAUAGCAGUCUUAUUUAUAAUAGCCUGGAACUGGAAAGAACCCAGAUGUUCUUCAACAGAGAAAUGGAUACAGAAAAUGUGCUACAUUUGCACAAUGGAGUAC
rnacentral:lncRNA from 1 species